CACCGAGGCACAGGCCAUCCACGCCUGAUAGAGAACGCAGUGGAACAGCAAAGAAACGCCUGUCAUAUCCAGCUCCUGAGCCACAUUGUGGCAUUAGAAUUGAUUAUAGUAGCUUUAGCCAGAACCUGAGAAGCCCCAGCUUUAAGAGUGUGCAAGGUGGAUGUUUUGGAAUGGAGCACCGGUCAAACUACUCUACAUGCUACACUGAGAG
rnacentral:misc_RNA from 1 species